CCUACGGGAGGCAGCAGUGGGGAAUAUUGCACAAUGGGCGCAAGCCUGAUGCAGCCAUGCCGCGUGUAUGAAGAAGGCCUUCGGGUUGUAAAGUACUUUCAGUCGUGAGGAAGGCGUUGUAGUUAAUAGCUGCAUCGUUUGACGUUAGCGACAGAAGAAGCACCGGCUAACUCCGUGCCAGCAGCCGCGGUAAUACGGAGGGUGCGAGCGUUAAUCGGAAUUACUGGGCGUAAAGCGCAUGCAGGUGGUUUGUUAAGUCAGAUGUGAAAGCCCGGGGCUCAACCUCGGAAUAGCAUUUGAAACUGGCAGACUAGAGUACUGUAGAGGGGGGUACAAUUUCAGGUGUAGCGGUGAAAUGCGUAGAGAUCUGGAGGAAUACCGGUGGCGAAGGCGGCCCCCUGGACAAGAACUGACGCUCAUGUACGAAAGCGUGGGGAGCAAACAGGAUUAGCUACCCGGGUAGUC
rnacentral:rRNA from 1 species